AGCUGGGUGUGAGUCCGCGGAGCUGAGAGCCUUGCCCUCUGCUCCAUCCUCCUCUUUUGGGGGUCUCCGCGGUGUCAGGACUUGGAGAGCCUGGUCGUGGGACUUGAUCAGAGAGGCCUUGAGUGCAGUGGGUGCUUAUCUGGUGACUGUGGCCCUGAGGUCUGGGACAGACACUGCCAGUCUUUCUGGGCCACACCCACGGGGACUGCCAGCCCCCCUGGGCUUGGCACAGUGGAGGGGAGCCUCCACCACAGUGGAGGAGAGACACACCCAAGGCCCUGGAUGUGCCCGGCUCUCUGCAGCUGUGGGUGCCUCAGGCCGGCCGCCGAUGGGUCUCAGUUUCUGAGGGGGUGGCAGUGAAGUUGCAGAGAAGAAACCUAUGAAGGUGCCCUGUCAACUGCCACACGCCGAGAUGCACAUUGACAGCCCAUCACCGCCUCUUGCCUGUCCUCCCCGGGGACCGGCAGAUCAUGGGAGAUGAUUUGUCAAGGGGAGACACAUUUGGGUGACACCAAGCCGAGCUUCCUGUCUUGAGACGCUUUCUGCUUUCUCAUCUUCCUGCUAAUGAGUUGCCUUUUGUGUGUGUAAGUUCAGAGGGCCUCUGUCACUGGUGUAACCUCUCCAGAACAUUUGAACAUGAAACAAACAUCAUUUCUCUAGAUUAAAUUAAAUUAAUUCCCA
rnacentral:lncRNA from 1 species